UACGUAGGGGGCAAGCGUUGUCCGGAAUUACUGGGCGUAAAGCGUGCGCAGGCGGUUCGCCAAGUCAGGUGUGAAAUCCCCGGGCCUUAACCUGGGAAUUGCGCUUGAAACUAGCGGGCUUGAGUGUGGCAGAGGGGGGUGGAAUUCCACGUGUAGCAGUGAAAUGCGUAGAGAUGUGGAGGAACACCGAUGGCGAAGGCAGCCCCCUGGGUCAACACGUGACGCCUCGAUGCACGAAAGCGUGGGGAGCGAAACAAGG
rnacentral:rRNA from 1 species